GGAACCCGGUGGGAAUCCGGGACGGUCGCGCCACUGUGAACGAGACGCCCCCGCGCGCCGGGAGCGUCCGUGAGUCAGAC
rnacentral:ncRNA from 2 species